rnacentral:rRNA from 1 species
GUAAUCAUGGUUUCCGUAGGUGAACUUGCGGAAGUAUCAUUA